rnacentral:misc_RNA from 1 species
GAUGAAGAACGUAGCGAAAUGCGAUAAGUAGUGUGAAUUGCAGAAUUCAGUGAAUCAUCGAAUCUUUGAACCCACAUUGCGCCCCUUGGUAUCCCGAGGGGCAUGCCUGUUCGAGCGUCAUUUCACCACUCAAGCCUGGCUUGGUGUUGGGCGACGUCCUCUUUGGGGACGCGCCUCGAAACGCUCGGCGGCGUGGCACCGGCUUUAAGCGUAGCAGAAUCUUUCGCUUUGGAAGUCGGGGCCCCGUCUGCCGGAAGACCUGCUCGCAAGGUUGACCUCGGAUCAGGCAGGGAUACCCGCUGAACUUAAGCAUAUCAAUAAGCGGAGGA